rnacentral:rRNA from 1 species
UACGUAGGGACCAAGCGUUGUCCGGAAUCAUUGGGCGUAAAGAGCGUGUAGGCGGCUUGUUAAGUCUUGCGUGAAAUCUCGGGGCUCAACCCCGAGCGGUCGUGAGAAACUGGCAGGCUAGAGUGCGGGAGAGGAGAGUGGAAUUCCUGGUGUAGCGGUGAAAUGCGCAGAUAUCAGGAAGAACACCCGUGGCGAAGGCGGCUCUCUGGGCCGAUACUGACGCUGAGGAGCGAAAGCGUGGGGAGCAAACAGG